AUUGAGGGUCACCACAACAUGAGGAACUGUAUUAAAGGGUCGCGGCAUUAGGAAGGUUGAGAACCACUGUCUUAGAGAGAUGGAGUAUUCUGGGGGCCGUGAGAAGAAUAACCAGAGUUACAAGCUGGCUGAAUUGGCUGAUGUAGCAAGGUUGACUGUUCCAGCCCAAGUUGAAUUUCCCAAGAUCUGAAGAAGAAUUCAGAUUUUAAUAUUGGUGGGUGGGUGAUGACUAAGCAUUCAUCUCUGCACAUGUGAGCUCAUUCUCACUAUCUCUUUUUUAAUGAGAAGUACUUUCUCAGCUGUAGCAAAAACCCACAGUGUUGGUGUGAGGGCCUGAGAGAGAGAGGCUGUUUCUGCUGUUUCUAAAUUUACAUACAUACUACCACAAUUGUAGGUCCCAAAUUUGACCUAGUUUUUAUUCAUUGGUUUUCUUCCAAUGCCUAAUUUCCUUAACUUGGUAUAGAUCUUUUUAAUUUGCCCAUGUUUGUAUGGAAAUAAUACAAUAAUUAAUAAAAAUA